GGUGUAGUCGAAGGGAGUGCCAAGACCAUAGCCGUAGUUCAGGCCGUAGACACCGAUGCCGUGGCCGAGGGCGUAGCUUCCAGCGCCAUAGCCCAGGGUUCCAACACCAUACCCGUAGACUGGAGUGGUCUGGUAGGUAGCGAAGGCUGGGGCAGCGUGGGCAAUGGUGGCAACAGCUGGGGCGUGGUGGAUGGUGGUAGCGGCAACAGCUGGAGCGGCGUGGACGGCAGCGACAGCUGGGGCAGCGGCGUAGGUGGCGACAGCUGGAACAGCAGCCACAACUGGAGCAGCCUGGUGGAAGGUGGUGACACGGGACACAGCUGGGGCAGCGGCAACAGUGGCAACAGCUGGAGCAGCAGCAACAACUGGAGCAGACUGGUAAACUCGGGUGACAGCUGGGGCGGCAGCGACGACUGGAGCAGCCUGAGUGUAGGUGGUGAUGCGGGACACAGCCGGGGCAGCGGCGACAGCAGCGACGGCUGGGGCAGCAGCCACAACUGGAGCAGACUGGUACACCCUAGUGACAGCUGGGGCAGCAGCGACGACUGGAGCAGCCUGAG